rnacentral:rRNA from 1 species
AGCUCCAAUAGCGUAUAUUUAAGUUGUUGCAGUUAAAAAGCUCGUAGUUGGAUUUCGGGUGGGAGCCGUGUGGUAAGCACUUUGUGUUGUACUGCCGGCACCCUCCCUGCUGCCGGGGACAGGCUGCUGAUCUUAACUGGUUGGCACCUGGAGUCGGCGAGAUUACUUUGAGUAAAUUAGAGUGUUCAAAGCAGGCCUACGCUCUGAAUACAUUAGCAUGGAAUAACACGAUAGGACUCUGGCCUAUCUAGUUGGUCUGUGGGACCGGAGUAAUGAUUAAGAGGGACAGUCGGGGGCAUUCAUAUUUCAUUGUCAGAGGUGAAAUUCUUGGAUUUAUGAAAGAUGAACUUCUGCGAAAGCAUUUGCCAAGGAUGUUUUCA